UCUCCCCCUCUCCCUCCAGUUAAUGAUCAAAUUAGCCUGAAAUGACAUUGCAACAAUUUUGAGUAUUGUUUCAACAAAAUAGUUCCGUGGGUUAACAAAAUAACUUGGGCAAAAAUGAGCUUUUAUUUGUCAAAUAAAAAUCUUUCGAGGGAUUCGGAUUUCAGUAUCCGUCUCAACUCUCAAGUCCCUCCCGUUCAGGACUUCAAGCCCGUCUCAUAAAAAUGAGAUAGAGUUUGAUCGUAGUCAAAUAAGAAUGAAGGGUAGCUCGAGGGUAUCUGAGCGCAAUUGAGAGGAGAGGAAAAAAGGGUUUGAGGGUCGGAGUGUUCGAUGACAGACGGAGAUAAAGAAAGUGACUGAGUAAGAUGAAACAGGGGGCAAACAGGAAGCAGAGCGGGAGGUGAAGCCUGUUCGGGGAAGAAUAAAAAGAAAUCAUGAGUAACGGCAAAUCAAAAGCUACAUGAGAUACGAAAGCAACUGAGAUUUUUAUCAGAGAAUGCUUGGAUCAAGUUUAAUGGAGAACGUAAAGGGACCGCCCUUACAAAGAUGGGGUGGAAAGCUGUUAUUUCUGGAUUCAAUGAGAAAACGGGCAGAAAAUAUGACAAAGGACAAUUCAAAAACAAGUGGUACAACAUUAGGAAAGACCGGACAACAUGGGAUAAAUUAUUUUCCAAAAAGACUGGUUUAGGGGGGGAUAGUGCAAAGAACAUAGUAGACACACCAGAUGAAGAUGAUUGGUGGGAGAAAAAGCAAUUGGUAUGAAGUAGUUCAUGUGAAGUUAUUAGUAUUAUCUUUCUUGUGUGAUAUUUCAUAUUGAUUACUUGUAAAAAUGCUGGAAAAUCCCCAAUAUGCAAAAUUCAGAUAUAAAGCACUUCUGUUUGCUCUAGAA